rnacentral:rRNA from 1 species
UACGGAGGAUGCAAGCGUUAUUCGGAAUUAUUGGGCGUAAAGGGCGCGUAGGCGGUUUUUUAAGUCAGAUGUGAAAGCCCGGGGCUUAACUUCGGAAGUGCAUUUGAUACUGGGAAACUUGAGUAUGGGAGAGGGAAGUGGAAUUCCUGGUGUAGAGGUGAAAUUCGUAGAUAUCAGGAGGAACACCGGUGGCGAAGGCGACUUCCUGGACCAAUACUGACGCUGAGGCGCGAAGGCGUGGGGAGCAAACAGGAUUAGAUACCCUGGUAGUCCACGCAGUAAACGGUGAUCACUAGGUGUAGCGGGUAUUGACCCCUGCUGUGCCGAAGUUAACGCAUUAAGUGAUCCGCCUGGGGAGUACGGCCGCAAGGUUAAA